rnacentral:rRNA from 1 species
CCUACGGGUGGCAGCAGUGAGGAAUAUUGGUCAAUGGACGGAAGUCUGAACCAGCCAUGCCGCGUGCAGGAUGACUGCUCUAUGAGUUGUAAACUGCUUUUGUACAGGAAUAAUAGUUCUUACGUGUAGGUUUUUGAAUGUAUCUUACGAAUAAGGAUCGGCUAACUCCGUGCCAGCAGCCGCGGUAAUACGGAGGAUUCGAGCGUUAUCCGGAUUUAUUGGGUUUAAAGGGAGCGUAGGCUGGUGGAUAAGUUAGUGGUCAAAGGUCGGGGCUUAACCGCGUGCUUGCAUCUGAUACUGUCAGACUAGAGAGCAGAUGCGGCAGGCGGAAUGAGUAGUGUAGCGGUGAAAUGCUUAGAUAUUACGAAGAACACCGAUUGCGAAGGCAGCUUGCUAAUCCGCAUCUGACACUGAUGCACGAAAGUGUGGGUAGCGAACAGGAUUAGAUACCCGUGUAGUC